rnacentral:rRNA from 1 species
UACGUAGGGUCCAAGCGUUAAUCGGAAUUACUGGGCGUAAAGCGUGCGCAGGCGGUUCGUUAAGUCAGCUGUGAAAGCCCCGGGCUCAACCUGGGAAUUGCGGUUGAAACUGGCGAACUAGAAUCUGGCAGAGGGGGGUGGAAUUCCACGUGUAGCAGUGAAAUGCGUAGAGAUGUGGAGGAACACCGAUGGCGAAGGCAGCUCGCUGGGACGGUACUGACGCUGAGACGCGAAAGCGUGGGGAGCAAACAGG